AUGCAAAUGGUCUCUUGCGGUCGCACGGCGGUGAACAUCAACGGCGAGAUUGAUCCUUUCUUCCCCACCCUUUGUGGGGUUCGUCAAGGUGACCCCUUCUCCCCGUUCCUGUUCAAUAUGGCCGUGGACGCUCUUGCCUCCAUCCUGGAUAAGGCAAAAGCCGCUGGCGACAUUCGUGGGAUUACUCCCCACCUUUCCGGUGGCUCUGGGAUCUCCAUCCUGUAA
rnacentral:rRNA from 1 species